CGCUGGCGGCGUGCUUCAUACAUGCAAGUCGAACGAGAAAUACACUUCGGUGUAUGGAAAGUGGCGGACGGGUGAGUAAUGUGUAGAGAAUCUGCCCUGAAGAGGGGGACAACAGAGGGAAACUUCUGCUAAUACCCCAUAUGCGCGUAGUUGAGAUACUAUUCGUGAAAGAUUUAUCGGCGAUGGAUGAGGAUGCGUCUGAUUAGAUAGUAGGCGGGGUAACGGCCCACCUAGUCGACGAUCAGUAGGGGUUCUGAGAGGAAGGUCCCCCACAUUGGAACUGAGACACGGUCCAAACUCC
rnacentral:rRNA from 1 species